rnacentral:rRNA from 1 species
UACGGAGGGGGUUAGCGUUGUUCGGAAUUACUGGGCGUAAAGCGCGCGUAGGCGGACCAGAAAGUUGGGGGUGAAAUCCCGGGGCUCAACCCCGGAACGGCCUCCAAAACUCCUGGUCUUGAGUUCGAGAGAGGUGAGUGGAAUCCCGAGUGUAGAGGUGAAAUUCGUAGAUAUUCGGAGGAACACCAGUGGCGAAGGCGGCUCACUGGCUCGAUACUGACGCUGAGGUGCGAAAGUGUGGGGAGCAAACAGG